rnacentral:rRNA from 1 species
GACAGAGGUGCCGAGCGUUAGGCGGAAUCACUGGGCUUAAAGCGUGUGUAGGCGGACCGUUAAGUACCUUGUGAAAUCCCCCCGGCUCAACCGGGGAACGGCUGGGUAUACUGGCGGUCUUGAGCCAUCCAGGGGCAGUCGGAACAGACGGUGGAGCGGUGAAAUGCGUAGAUAUCGUCUGGAACGCCGAAGGUGAAAACAGACUGCUGGGGAUGCGCUGACGCUGAGACACGAAAGCCAGGGGAGCGAACGGGG